CCUGCCUCUCCUUGCAUAGAUGUCAGAAGUAACACUUCAGGCGGGGGCGUCUGAGGUUCGCGUGUGAGGGAAUCAGGUGCAUUGCACAGUCAUCUCCUGCUCAAGACAGAGGAGGGCGCUCAGGGGCCAAUCAAACGACUUCUAAACCGCGAAAACAGGCCUGGGGCAAAAGAGUCCGUAGAUACCGCAGUCAAGGGGCGAUUCACUCCAUUUACUGACACAAUAGACAUGGAGUGCCUCCCAUGGACACAGGGAAUGAAGGGAUAGACAGAUGUCCUAUCUUUGGGAAUGCUGGCCUUCCAAGGAGAGAGUUGUCCACUGGGGAAAACGCCUGGGCAAUUCCCUGCAGUGUGGCAGGUGUGAAGGUGGAGGAUGAAGCGAUUACAACCUGGGCGCAGUAUACUGGCUGGCUUUGCUGCUCACUCCCUUACGAAUAGCUGUGAUGGGAUAUGAAAUCCAAGGGAACUGUUAGCCCCCCAGAGCAGCUGCUCCCACCGACCCUGCUCCAAGAGUGCUGGGAUGUCCGCUGGCCUCGAGGCAAGACAAGAGCUCCAAUCACUCUGCUGCAAGCGCCACCAUUAAAGUCAAGAUCACUGUGGUGGGGGGAGUUGAAGUGUGCAUUCCAGCAUGCUCAUGAUCUUACUGACCUUCUCCACUGAUGAAUUAGAACACCCCUCUUCCCAGGCACAGGACGAGUUCAGUGCCUCUCUGUUUCUUGAUGGACCCCAAUAAAAAAACGCCUGCACUGUUUUUCACCUAAGGUCAUCUCGACAAUUUACAAGGAUAAGGAUUGUAGCUGCAAAAUAAUGCCUAUGCCCCUCUAGCCCCCUUAGCAUCCCCCAUCUAUAUCAAGACCAUAAAACCAGUGCUUUUGGCCCUCCUCCUCACUCCUCCAGUAUGGGCAAUUUUCUUUUCCUCAUCCAUGUUUCCAAAACAGUUUAUCUUUUUAUCUCCUUGGAAGAAAAGUACUCCACAAAUCAAAG
rnacentral:lncRNA from 1 species